rfam:Oryza rufipogon genomic scaffold, chr08
UUUAAACGCAGCCAUAAAUUUCCGUGUACAACUUUGAUCGCCCGUCUUAUUUAAUUUUUUUAUGAUUAGUAUUUUUAUAGUUAUUAGAUGAUAAAACAUAAAUAGUAUUUUAUGCAUGACUUAUGUUUUUUUUUAAUUUUACUUUUUUUAAAAAAAUAAGGUAGACGAUUAAAGUUAAACAUAAAAACAUAAAAACUCAUGGUUACGCUUAAA